rnacentral:rRNA from 1 species
GACGAACGCUGGCGGCGUGCUUAACACAUGCAAGUCGAGCGGUAAGGCCCUUUCGGGGGUACACGAGCGGCGAACGGGUGAGUAACACGUGGGUGACCUGCCCUUAGCUCUGGGAUAAGCCUGGGAAACGUGGGUCUAAUACCGGAUAUGACUCCAUGACGCAUGUUGGUGGGGUGGAAAGCCUUGUGCGGCUAGGGAUGGGCCCGCGGCCUAUCAGCUUGGUUGGGUGGGGUGAUGGCCACCAAGGCGACGACGGUAGCCGGCCUGAGAGGGCGACCGGCCACACUGGGACUGAGACACGGCCCAGACUCCUACGGGAGGCAGCAGGUGGGGAAUCUUGCGCAAUGGGCGAAAGCCUGACGCAGCGACGCCGCGUGAGGGAUGACGGCCU